rnacentral:rRNA from 1 species
GAUGAACGCUGGCGGCGUGCUUAAUACAUGCAAGUCGAACGGAGGAUGUAGCAAUAUAUCUUUAGUGGCGAACGGGUGAGUAACGCGUUGGUGACCUGCCCCAAAGAGAGGGAUAACAGUUCGAAAGGACUGCUAAUACCGCAUGAGUUCACAGAGAUUGGAAGGCUGUGAAGAAAGGCGAAAGCCGCUUUGGGAGGGGCCUGCGUCCCAUCAGCUAGUUGGUAGGGUAACGGCCUACCAAGGCGAUGACGGGUAGGGGACCUGAGAGGGUGGCCCCCCACAAUGGAACUGAAACACGGUCCAUACACCUACGGG